CUACGGGUCGCACCAGUGGGGAAUAUUGGACAAUGGGCGCAAGCCUGAUCCAGCAAUACCGCGUGUGUGAAGAAGGCCUGCGGGUUGUAAAGCACUUUCAAUUGUGAAGAAAAGCGAGGGCUUAAUACGCUCUUGUCUUGACGUUAACUUUAGAAGAAGCACCGGCUAACUCUGUGCCAGCAGCCGCGGUAAUACAGAGGGUGCGAGCGUUAAUCGGAAUUACUGGGCGUAAAGCGUACGUAGGCGGUUUAGUAAGUCAGAUGUGAAAGCCCUGGGCUCAACCUGGGGACUGCAUUUGAAACUGCUAGACUAGAGUGUGGUAGAGGGAAGUGGAAUUCCGGGUGUAGCGGUGAAAUGCGUAGAUAUCCGGAGGAACACCAGUGGCGAAGGCGACUUCCUGGACCAACACUGACGCUGAGGUACGAAAGCGUGGGUAGCAAACAGGAUUAGAUACCCGCGUAGUC
rnacentral:rRNA from 1 species